rnacentral:lncRNA from 1 species
CUACAAGCAACUGCUGCCAUGAGCAAGAUCCCAGCCCACAAGGAAAGGGGGCGAUUCAGCACGACAGAUCCCCUUUGUAGGAAUAUUGUUGCAGCACUCACUCUGGCCCCUGGCAUACCCCAGGUAACCAAUGGGAACCUCGAGAGUAUAUUUAAACCCCAGAAAAUUCUGGAUAACGGGGAUCUUGAGCCCCUGUGCUUGGACCCGCUCCCACCCUGUGGAGCAUAUUUUCAUUUUUAAUAAAUCUCUACUUUUAUUGCUUCAUUCUUUCCUUGUUCUGUUUGUGCGUUUUGUCCAAUUCCUUGUUCAAGAGGUCAAGAACCUGGACACCCUCCAC